GCAAGCUCCACCUCCCGAGUUCAAGCCAUUCUCCUGCCUCAGCCUCCCCAAGUAUCUGGGACUACAGGUGCCUGCCACCAUGCCUGGCUAAUUUUUGUAUUUCUAGUAGAGACAGGGUUUCAGCAUGUUGGCCAGGCUGGUCUCGAACUCCUGACCUAAGGUGAUCCACCCACCUUGGCCUCCCAAAGUGCUGAGAUUACAGGCGUGAGCCACUGUACCCAGCCGAUAAUUUCAUAGAUUAUCAGCUACCCUGCACAUAUUCAUGUAUUGCUUGUCAGUUGACAGGAAAGAGUCUUAUCUUAUUGGCCAAGAAUUUAGCCGGCAUCUUUGAUCCCAUCAGCAGUUUUGCACUUGAUAUUUGAGGAGUUUCAAAAUGCUAGGAGGCUUUGAUAUUUUCUUUCACCUCAAAACGAAAAUGAAACAUGGUCCAAAAAGUUUGCGCUAAGACCAAAUGGCCAGUGCAAUUUGUACAAAGAGUUAACACUGUCCUUUUGGAUUUUCAGAAAAAGAGCAAGUAACCUUUAUGGAGACUGAAACCAUAGCCAUUUCCAUGGAAGGUUGGGGCAAGAAGCCCUAUUUUCAAUUUGCUCACACAGAGGCUCUUCAUGGGAAGGCCAGACUGCCAUGGAUGAAACAUACAGCGGGGAUGUAUCCGAACACCGUCUCCUGGCCUGUGAAACAGACCAAGAAGUCCCCUUGGAGUUAGAGGGGCCUCUGUGAGCCCUGAGAGAUGCUGCAGCCCAAGGAAGACAUGGGAGGAGGCACUAAGCAGUGUCCCAGGAAGUCACAUAAAGAAAACAUCAUUGGCUGCGCUGCUGCAAAUCUGUGUCUGGGAGUUUGGGCCAGGUUUAAUGCAACUGAUAAUUCAUAAGGAGCAGA
rnacentral:lncRNA from 1 species